GGAGUUAGCCGGUGCUUCUUCUGUGAGUGAUGUCCUUCCUGCCGGUUAUUGACCCGCAGGCCUUCUUCCUCACUGAAAGUGCUUUACAACCCGAAGGCCUUCUUCACACACGCGGCAUGGCUGGAUCAGGGUUGCCCCCAUUGUCCAAUAUUCCCCACUGCUGCCUCCCGUAGGAGUCUGGGCCGUGUCUCAGUCCCAGUGUGGCUGAUCAUCCUCUCAGACCAGCUACGGAUCGUCGCCUUGGUGAGCCGUUACCUCACCAACCAGCUAAUCCGACAUAGGCUCAUCCGAUAGCGCGAGGCCCGAAGGUCCCCCGCUUUCCCCCGUAGGGCGUAUGCGGUAUUAGCCUGGGUUUCCCCAGGUUAUCCCCCGACUACCGGGCAGAUUCCUAUGCAUUACUCACCCGUCCGCCGCUCGCCACCAGGGAGCAAGCUCCCCGUGCUGCCGCUCGACUUGCAUGUGUUAGGCCUGCCGCCAGCGUUCAAUCUGAGCCAUAAUCAAACUCUGA
rnacentral:rRNA from 1 species